rnacentral:tRNA from 1 species
GGAGAGGUGACCGAGUGGCCGAAGGUGCUCGCCUGGAAAGCGGGUGUACCGCAAGGUACCGAGGGUUCGAAUCCCUCCCUCUCCGCCA